rnacentral:rRNA from 1 species
UGGGGAAUUUUGCACAAUGGGCGCAAGCCUGAUGCAGCGACGCCGCGUGAGGGAUGAAGGCCUUCGGGUUGUAAACCUUUUUCGCUCAUGGUCAAGCCGCAGCUUUGGGUUGUGGUGAGGGUAGUGGGUAAAGAAGCGCCGGCUAACUACGUGCCAGCAGCCGCGGUAAUACGUAGGGCGCGAGCGUUGUCCGGAAUUAUUGGGCGUAAAGGGUACGUAGGCGGCCCAGUAAGUUAGAAGUGAAAUAAUAUAGCUCAACUAUAUAAAGCUUUUAAAACUGCUAGGCUUGAGAGAUGGAAGGGAAAGUGGAAUUCCUAGUGUAGCGGUGAAAUGCGCAGAUAUUAGGAAGAAUACCGGUGGCGAAGGCGACUUUCUGGUCAUCAUCUGACGCUGAGGUACGAAAGCGUGGGGAGCAAACAGG